rnacentral:rRNA from 1 species
AUUGAACGCUGGCGGCAGGCCUAACACAUGCAAGUCGAGCGAGUGGCGGACGGGUGAGUAAUGUAUGGGGAACUGCCCGAUAGAGGGGGAUAACUACUGGAAACGGUAGCUAAUACCGCAUACCAUCGGAUGAACCCAGAUGGGAUUAGCUAGUAGGUGGGGUAACGGCUCACCUAGGCGACGAUCCCUAGCUGGUCUGAGAGGAUGACCAGCCACACUGGGACUGAGACACGGCCCAGACUCCUACGGGAGGCAGCAGUGGGGAAUAUUGCACAAUGGGCGCAAGCCUGAUGCAGCCAUGCCGCGUGUAUGAAGAAGGCCUUCGGGUUGUAAAGUACUGUCAGCGAGGAGGCGUUACUCGCAGAAGAAGCACCGGCUAACUCCGUGCCAGCAGCCGCGGUAAUUC